UUCCCCUCAGGGAAACGGAAAGACAGGGGUGGCGGUGGCUUAUCCUGGUCACAAGAUCUUCUUGUGACUCUUCCCUCCUAAAAUAGAAUGCGUCUGUGGUAGUGGUUGGUUUUGGGUUUAGAACGGCUAAGUAUGUCCGUUUCUAAAAAAGACCCACUAGUGGUAGAGAAGAAAUCUGCUAGUAGCCGACUGGAAGGAGUCCCUUCUUUACAUCAGUGUAGGUGAUGCCCAAGUGAUGCUUUCCAGGUAUUGCUGUACUGUCGUUCCCAGCAUCCCUCACCUGUGGCUUGAAAAGCUAUGACUAAUGAGGACUUCCAGCCCAACCUCACCCAGAGGGCUCUGCUUUGUCCACCUAUGCAUUACAGUCUAGAUCCGUCUACACCUCUGGAGGAAUACACACCACCUGCACACGUUCAGGUCUGAGUCCUCAAGAGAGAAACUACCAAGGUUUAACUUUUCAUAUGUGAGAAGUUGGAUUUGGCCGGAGGAAAAGCCAAAAGCUAUUUCUAGCCCAACCUCUCGGAAAAAUGGAUUUUCAUCUGUCUUCCUGUGCCUGCGUUGCUGCUUCAAAAAGAACAGACGUUCUGGAGGGAAUAAAGACGAGACUGCAGAAAUGCCCAAAUGGAGCAGAAACAUGAGCCAGAGCUUGUCUAUCAACACAUUUGUAAGGAGAAGCAAAGCCAGAAAAAGAUGCAAAAGGAGAAUAGUAGAUGUGGUAGACCAAGCAGUCAGCUCCUUCUGGAAAAGGACGUUAAGCCGGCUUGGGUCCCUUUGGAGGAGAAAGACAGAGUGUCAAUAUGUUAAAUUUUAAAAAAUAAAACAAAAAAGUGCAGAAGGGUUCACCCCUCCACCCAUCCGCACUCCCUUGACUGUCGAAGCAGCUACAGAGGACGACUUGUCCCUGAAAAGUUAAUUGUUAAAACCUAGAAGAAUCUCAAUAGAGGCUGACUAGACACUUGUGGAGGCUGGACCGUUUCC